UACGUAGGGCGCAAGCGUUAUCCGGAAUUAUUGGGCGUAAAGAGCUCGUAGGCGGUUUGUCGCGUCUGCCGUGAAAGUCCGGGGCUCAACCCCGGGCCUGCAUUCGAUACGGGCAGACUAGAGUUCGGUAGGGGAGUCUGGAAUUCCUGGUGUAGCGGUGAAAUGCGCAGAUAUCAGGAGGAACACCGGUGGCGAAGGCGGGACUCUGGGCCGAUACUGACGCUGAGGAGCGAAAGCGUGGGGAGCGAACAGG
rnacentral:rRNA from 1 species